UACGUAGGGGGCGAGCGUUGUCCGAAGUUACUGGGCGUAAAGCGCGCGUAGGCGGCUAUUUAAGUCUGGGGUGAAAGGUUCAACGCUCAACGUGAACAGUGCCUCGGAUACUGGAUAGCUUGAGUUCGGGAGGGGGCAGUGGAAUUCCUGGUGUAGCGGUGAAAUGCGUAGAUAUCAGGAGGAACACCGAUGGCGAAGGCAGCUGCCUGGCCCAGAACUGACGCUGAGGUGCGAAAGCGUGGGGAGCGAACGGG
rnacentral:rRNA from 1 species